rnacentral:rRNA from 1 species
GGACUGCUAAUACCGCAUGAUACCGUCAGGGUCGAAACGGACGCAAAGUCGUCCUAGGAGGAGCCUGCGUCUGAUUAGGUAGUUGGUGGGGUAAAGGCCUACCAAGCCUACGAUCAGUAGCUGGUCUGAGAGGAUGAUCAGCCACAUUGGGACUGAGACACGGCCCAAACUCCUACGGGAGGCAGCAGUGGGGAAUAUUGGACAAUGGGCGCAAGCCUGAUCCAGCAAUGCCGCGUGGGUGAAGAAGGUCUUCGGAUUGUAAAGCCCUUUUGGCGGGGACGAUGAUGACGGUACCCGCAGAAUAAGCUCCGGCUAACUUCGUG